rnacentral:rRNA from 1 species
UGACGGUACCUGACUAAGAAGCACCGGCUAAAUACGUGCCAGCAGCCGCGGUAAUACGUAUGGUGCAAGCGUUAUCCGGAUUUACUGGGUGUAAAGGGAGCGCAGACGGCAUGGCAAGCCAGAUGUGAAAUGCGGGGGCUCAACUCCUGAACUGCAUUUGGAACUGUCAAGCUAGAGUAUCGGAGAGGUAAGUGGAAUUCCUAGUGUAGCGGUGAAAUGCGUAGAUAUUAGGAGGAACACCAGUGGCGAAGGCGGCUUACUGGACGAUAACUGACGUUGAGGCUCGAAAGCGUGGGGAGCAAACAGGAUUAGAUACCCUG